CCUACGGGAGGCAGCAGUGGGGAAUCUUGGACAAUGGGCGAAAGCCUGAUCCAGCGACGCCGCGUGGGGGAUGAAGCCCUUCGGGGUGUAAACCCCUGUUGCGAGGGAGGAAUAAGGCCUGGAGGAAAUGCCAGGCCGAUGACUGUACCUCGCGAGGAAGCCCCGGCUAACUACGUGCCAGCAGCCGCGGUAAUACGUAGGGGGCGAGCGUUACCCGGAUUCACUGGGCGUAAAGCGGGUGUGGGCGGCUCGGUAAGUCGGGUGUGAAAUCCCACAGCUCAACUGUGGAAUUGCGCCCGAAACUGCUGAGCUUGGGGCCGGUAGAGGGAGACGGAACUGCCGGUGUAGGGGUGAAAUCCGUAGAUAUCGGCAGGAACGCCGGUGGGGAAGCCGGUCUCCUGGGCCGCGCCCGACGCUGAGACCCGAAAGCUAGGGGAGCAAACC
rnacentral:rRNA from 1 species